ACUGGUACUCUUAUCCUACAAGUAAUUUAUUUAAUACUUUGAUUGAAUACUAGCACAAGCUUGGAGAUAUAUAUUUUUUUUUAAACGGUACAAGAUACACUCAAUUUACUAUAAAACCGUAAACAUGAUGAAAUUCAGUAGAGUAGAUUAUUUUUGCAUCAACAAAUAAAAUAUUUUCGGUUCUCAACUUCUGUCUGGAUUUUUUCAGCUCAAAACCAUUAAUACAAACUCUCAUUUACUUUACACUCAUUAACUUACGAUCUAAAUUUCAAUUGAAUAUAUCAAAGAAGUAUUUAUUUGAGUAAUUAUAUAUAAAUUAAAUUAAUCCAUUAUAUGUAUACAUUUAAUGCAGGGUUGCGAAUUAUUCAAAGAGGAUAUUUGCAAUUAAAAAUUAAACUUUUAAUCUGUAAUUGAAACUAUAUCGAUUAAAAUUACGAAAUUGAUUUUAAUUCAAGAACUUGAAUUGAAAAAUUUAAAAAUUAAUUCUAAUUUAGAAACGUGAGAUUAAAUAUUAAAAAAUUAAUUUUAAUCCAGGGACGUGGGAUUCAAAAUUUAAACAUUAAUUAAAAUAUACACAGUUUUUAAAUUGACCCGUAGGUUUACAAUUUCAAAAAUUAAUUCUAAUGCAGACAGCUGGGAUUGAAAAAUUAAAAAAUUACUUGGUAAUUCAAACACGUGGGAUCCAAAAUUGGGAAUUCCUUUUUAAUUCAGAUACGAUUUUUAUUAGCAGAAAAAUCUGUCAAACAUAACUGCAGCCGAUAAAGAAGUUUUUUUAGAAUUCAAUUGAUAACACUGUAGUAUUAAAUUAUUGAUUUUCAAGAGCUUAUAAUUUCAAAAACUGAACAUUUCGAAGUUUUUAAUGUGAAUUUUUUUUAUUCUAUGAAAUUGUAGUUUACCGGAUUUUUUUUCCGAAUUUAUUUUGUAUUCCAGAAAUUUUUUAUUUUUUAAAUUUUACUUCAAAUUUAUUCUAUCUUGAUACAAUAUCUUAUUCAAACAUUGUUUUCGAUGUUUUUUUUUCGGUGCUUUCUAUUCUUUUCAAAUUAAUAACUCCGAUGCAUUCUCCUGUUGAAUUUUUUCUCAUUUCAAAUUGUUUUUAUUUUUUAAUUUGUAGUUUCAUAGAAACUACGUAUAGCAUAUAUUUCACUCGGGGACGUCUUUGGCUCCCCUUUAAAAAGUUUCCGACAAUCGGCAAUUUUAAAAAUUAUGAAAUGAAUAAAUAAAAUGUAAGUAGAGUAAAAAUAAAAAAAUACGUAUCUAAAGAAUUGAAAAAUAAUACAUUUAUUUAUUUAAAAUUUAUAAAUUGUCUAUCUACUAUUUAACACUCAUAAAAUGUUUUAUUUUUUAUUAUUUAAAAUAAAAUAACUAAAAAAUAGUGAUUGAUAUAAAUAAAGGUAAUAUUUGCUUGACAACCUUCGUAUGUCUGAAGAAUAUUUAAUUAUAUUAGUACAUAUAUAUCCAGUAACUUACAAUACAUAUAUGUGUGUACUUACUGGUUUACAUUGAAAAAAAGUAGGUGCGGUAAAUAAAAGUAAACGUAAAACAUGUUGAUGAUCAAACAAGGAAACUGGUCCACCCAUGAAUGACUAGUGUAAUUUAAAACCAAAGAAGUUUAUGCCAUUAUUAUAACUUACACUUUACACUUAUUAUUAUUUUUGUAUAGAUUUCAAAUGCUUUAAAUUUAUUUUACAGAUUUAAAUUUGGCGAAAAAUAAUAAUAAUUACAAAUAAACGUAAGUUAUUAACAUUAACACAUUGGAAGGGAAGAUUCCUUUCGCUUCCUCAGCCACGGCUGGACGCUCGUGAUUUCUCUCUUUUAGCAUUUGACUGUUGUUAUGAUUCCUAAAUCUCUUCCUCGCUUUCGCCUGUCUACAUUACACGUAAUGAAAGCAUAUAUAUUUUAUAUUUACAUGUACAUAUAAGUACACUACAAUUGCGCAUUUGCAAAUAAAAAUUAAGUAUAUUCGUAAAUAUGUUUAAGAGAGAAAGGUGUUAUGGCGGCAAAAUAAAAUAAUUUAACUCGUAAUCUAAUUACAUCAGUAAUGAAUUCAAUUAAAGCUCUAGUUACUUAUUAACUUUAAAUAAUUUACAGAUCACUAUCAGUAAAAACAGCUAACGAGACUCUAUAAAACACGGCGAAGAAAUGAUACUGAAGAGCGGGCAUCAGUAUUUUAGAAAACUUUUUCCAUCAAAAUUGAGUUUCUUCUUUUUACAAACAAAAAUUGUCGCCACUAGAGUAACUUUCAGUAUCACAAGAAAUUACUGAUAUAAAAUUUUCUCAAUUUACCAAAAAAAAAAAAUAAUCUACUGUAGUAGAUUUAUUGAGCAGCUAUAAAAUCUAUUGAGUUCCAAGAGUUUCAACGUAUGAAGGAAUAAAAAAGUCGGUCGAGGACAUAUGUAAUACUUGGUAGUUGUUAAUCACCAACAAAAUCUCAAGAUUUAUAUUAUAUUCUUUGUUAAAUAUUAUUUUAUUCUAAUGACAACCGGCAAUCAUCUUCAACAAAGCAUGAAUGGGCGUCGCUAUAAAAUGACAAGGAUUACAUAUAAAUAUUAACACACAAUAAUAUACAAGAAUUGUUAUUUGUUAAUUCAAAUAUGUGUUGGCUGCUCGAGUAUCGCGGUGAAUGCAUUUCAAGUUUAAAGGUGUGACGGUUUGCUUCUGUUAUUUUUUUUUUUCCUACACAUCCAUUAUUAUCAAUCGAUUGUUUUAAAAUAAUUGUUUAUUUAUCAUUGCCGUCUUUUCGUCACAUCCAUGCUUCAUUAAUCGAGCAAUGACAUUUUUUUCUCUUCUUCUUUCUUCUUUCUCUUACUGUUUGUUAUUGUUCAUUUUUAAUGAUAUUCGUUUGCUUUCCUUCUCAUUCAAUAUUUUUUAUUCCCAACCCACAUUCGCACAAUAAGUAUUCUCACGAGCUGCGUGUCGCAUCAAGCAUGACAAUAUAUUUUUUAUUUAUUUUUUUAGCUUCAAUUGUAUCAAUAUAUAUAUCGAUUAUAUGAAUUAUAGGAAAUGCGUGAAUAUUAUAAUGCAAAUUGCAGUGCAGUAAUUGACUUACAUGUCCUUUUAUUAAAUAUAUGACUUCCUGAUGCUAAUAAAUUGAUAAUUAAUUUUAUUUGUUAUUUUUUUUAAUUAAAAAAAUAAAGUAACAAAACAUCAGACGAAUUUCCGUCGGAAAUGUGAGAGAUUUAAAUUAAUUUAACGAUAGAUAAA